rnacentral:rRNA from 1 species
AGCGAACGCUGGCGGCAGGCUUAACACAUGCAAGUCGAGCGGGCACUUUCGGGUGUCAGCGGCGGACGGGUGAGUAACGCGUGGGAACGUGCCCUCUGGUUCGGAAUAACUCAGGGAAACUUGAGCUAAUACCGGAUACGCCCUUUUGGGGAAAGGCUUGCUGCCGGAGGAUCGGCCCGCGUCUGAUGAGCUGGUUGGUGAGGUAACGGCUCACCAAGGCGACGAUCAGUAGCUGGUCUGAGAGGAUGCUCAGCCACACUGGGGCUGAGACACGGCCCAGACUCCUACGGGAAGCAGCAGUGGGGAAUAUUGGACAAUGGGCGCAAGCCUGAUCCAGCCAUGCCGCGUGAGUGAUGAAGGCCUUAGGGUUGUAAAGCUCUUUUAUCCGGGACGAUAAUGACGGUACCGGAGGAAUAAGCCCCGGCUAACUUCGUG